ACAUAUGAAUUGGGGGGAGGGCACAAUUCAGCCCAUAAUGGAGGGAUUAAGUAACUUGCCCCAGGUCAUACAACUGGGUCCACUGAGGAGCGAAUUCACACUCGGGUCUGUGUGUCUCCAAAGCCCAGCAUUCUUUAUGUCUCUUACCUCCUCAUUUCUUAUCCCAGCCAGGCCCUCAGAAACCAUCCAUCACUCCCCAUCGCUGCCACCCACUGCAAUGGGGGCCUCCGGGGAUACAAAGUGAGGAAGACGCUCGCCUACCCUCCACUGUGUGACCCAGUAGGGACAAGAGAGAAAGGGCCUGGAGGAACAUAUGAGAAGUGGCAUAAGAAUAUUACAGAUAAAACACUGUAUGAUUCCAAAUGAGGGAGAGAUUGCAAGGAGAGAUUGCAAACGAGGGAGAGAUUGCAAGGAAUCUCUGGUGGGGCCAGAGAUCAGGGGAAGGGAUGGAGUUGGGGUGGGGGGUGGGUAGGUCCUGGGAAGGGCUCAGGAAGGUGAUGUUUGCACAUAGGAAUUAAACUGCCUGGAUGCAAAUCCUGGCUGUACCCUCUACGAGCUGUGUCAUCAUCGGCGACAUACUUAUCCUUGAUUCCCUCAUCUUUAAGGAAAUACUAAUAAUUGCAUGGCUGUCAUGUGCUUCUUGUGAGGAAUCAAUGCAAAAAUCCCAACAAGUGUUAGAACAGCACUGACACGUUAACAACAGUUCAGUAAAUUUUAAGCUACUAUUAUCGGAGAUGUCUCAAAGAAUGAGUAGGAUUUAUAUAAAUAGAGAAAGGAAUUUAUAGCUGAGAAGGAUAAAUAACUACAGUUAUGCUGAGGCUGACCGUGUGUGGGUGAUGAAUUUGUACUUAGCUUCGUAGGCAGUGGCGUUGAACAGGGGCUGUAACAUGAUUGCUGGUACGCACACGCAGUGGGAAAGAUCGCUCUCACCAAGGUGUGUAAGAUGGAUUGCAAGGGGAAGGGCACGACAGAAGGACUGGUGGAAGCAAGGGGCUGUUAGGAAAGAACAGAACAGAAGUACUAUGAACAUGCAGCAGAGGGGGCAACACAGGAAGAUGAGGAAAAGGAGAGAGACGGAGAGAGAGAGGAAACUGUGGAGAUCCAAUGUGCAAACUUGGCUACCAAAUGGAUAUCACUGGUUGGGAGAAAGAAAGAGCCAAAGUUUCAAGACUAAAAAAAUAUCGUUACCUGUAGUAGACCCUGUUUUCCAUCUACCCACAUUUCCUGCCACCCCUCCCAUCCUCAAUCCUGACAAGAGUACAGUUUUGUUCAAAUAUUCAUCCUCCUCUAAGUGGCCACUGCUUCAGAGAAGAUUCUCUCCUGCUCAGCCCCAGGGAGGGGUCUUGAUUGGUCCAAGCCAUCCAGGUGGCUUCCCAGUGAUGGAUUAGGCAUAAGCAGAUGGAAAGAUUAUUGGCAAAAAGAAGAGAAGGGGUGGAAGCAACCCAGAUGUCCAUCCACUGAGAAAUGGAUGGAUAAAAUGUGGUAUGUCCAUACAGUGAAGUAUCAUUACUCAACAAUAAAAAGAAUGAAGUGCCGAUUCAUGGUAUAAUGUGGAUGAGCCUCAGAACACUAUGGUAAGCUAAAGAGGCCAGACAUAAAAAGCCACAUGUUGUAUGAGUCUCUUUAAACAAACGCUUCAGAAUGGGUAAAUCCAUACAGACUGAAAGUACAUUAAUGGUUGCCAGGAGCUGCAGAGGGAGGGGAGCAGGGAGUGAUUUGUCAAUGGAUAAAGGGUUUCUUUGGGGACAAUGACAAUAUUCUAAAAUUGAUUGUGGUGAUGGCCGCACAAUUUUGUACACGUAUAAAAAGCAUUGCAUUAUACAUUUUAAGUAAGUGAAUUAUAUGGCAUGUGAAUUUCAUCUCAGUGAAGCUGUUAUUAAUUUUUUUUGAAGAACCAAAAGGAAGACUGCUAGGAAAACUUCUGGAAAGGGUUUCAUCACUCUUCAACAGAAACACAAAAGAGUUGUCUCCUUUUCUUCUUAAGGCUGUUGUAGCUGACUCUGAUCCCUAGAGCAAUUCGAGAAGUCUAACUACCUCAUAUGAGAGGAGCCACCAGAAGCCAGAUCUGACAUACACAGCAAGGCAGCCCCAAGACGAGCACCUUACUUUCUCCUUACUUGAGAUAAUGCAUUUCUUUAUAUUUUAGGCACUUGAGUUGAGCCGUUCUGUCACUUGUAUCCAGGGCAUUGGAACGGAUACAGUUCCAUUAACAGAAAUUGUUAGAUCAGAAGAAGGUCUGGUUUUUCAGGGGCUAUGGGUUUAUGUCAAUUUAAAAGGGCAAGUGUAAAUCUAAGUGAAAGUAAGAAGUGUAAUUCUAGAUCUGAAGAAAGGGAUGGAUGGGUGGAUUGGUUGAUUGAUUGAGGAGUUACACGCUGGGCACUGAAGGCUGAAGCCCAAGAGAGAGCACAUACAGAAUGCAAAUAAAUAAAUAAAUCUGAGCUCUCUGAUCUCCUGACACUGAGCAGGAGCAAGAGAAAGAGAAAUUAGAGAAGGACACUGAGAAAGCAUGGGUACAGAAGGAUGAGGGAAAGCUACGAAAUACUGCAAAUGAUGUCAUGCAAGCCAAGAAGGGAAUUCAGGAAGAAGAGUGAUUCAGUUUGGGUCAAAUUCCAUAAAGAAACCAAGGAGGAAGUAAUAAAGACAAUAUGGCUAGAUAGACAAUGACUACGGUCAUUGUAAGAAAAAAAUAAAGCAAAAACAAAGGUAGUUUCAGUGGAAUGAUGGUGACAAAAGUCAGAUUUUAGAAGAUAUGGGCUGGGGGACAGAAAGUAGACACUGAUGACAUAGUAACACACUUCCUUACAGCAGUUGGGUAGUUAUGGAAAGCAUCACUGUAUUCACCAACAUCUGGUUCCACUCCCCUUCCAGGCACAUGGAAGAUGGUACUUCUCAGCACCCUUGCACUUGAGGAGGAGCACGUGGCAGUUCUUUAGUAAAAUGUGAAGUGGGUCCUUGCUAGAACCGAGGCAGUGAAAAGCCCAAGCUGAUUCUCCAGUCUCUCUCUCCCUGCCACAGUGGUCACAGAGAAGGCCCUGUGGGUAGAUGACAAAACCAAAAGACUGAAGACCCCUGACGGCUGAGUCACUGAGUAAAGCAUAACUACUCUUGAGGAGCGUCACCUGAUCUUCUGUGGCCACUGCAUAGACAAGAAAUCAACUCACUUCUAAGCCAUUGGGGGAGGGGGGGUUGUCCUCACUGAAUAACCUAUUUGAAGAAAGCUGGAAAAGUGGCAAAAGAGAACAGCAAAGUUGAGGAAAGGAGAGUUUUUGGUUUUGUUUUUGAUUAUUCCUAUUUCCAUGGUGAGCAAGAACGAAGCAUGCUUCUUAGGAAAAUGGCAAGAGCCAGCAGAGAGGAAGAACCUGAAGCUGACAAAGCAAUCAUCUAAACAAAGCAAAAAAUACGGCAAUACACAAGCCAAGAGUUGAGUCCUUGCCCUUCUUCUUCCAAGAGAAAAGGAUAAGUCCAGACCCAGGAGGAAUAUCCGGCAGUUUUAGGUGGAGAGGGAAGUUGAGGGAGGCCACCCUCAUCAGCCCAUGCACUUGACUUCGGACGAGCAAGCAGAGGCUGGAAUUUGAAAUCCUUGGAGGGGAGCAAUUCUCAAGGGAUGAUGAGCGCAUAUGACUGAAAUAACCAUGCAUGCAGUGAUCGCCUUUGCCUAUCGGCCUCCUAAACAGCUUAUGCAGACUGCAUUUCAUUAUUUUGGUUUACAUUCUAUAGGCAUUUAUUAAACAGAAUAUCGUCAUUUAAAAAGUAAAGUCAUACCCAGAAAGGGUUAAAAUGAUUCUUUUUCUGAGUUCUAUGCCCCCACCCCCACUGUUUCCCCAGUCCUUUAACUAAAUUAGCUAUUCCAUUGACAGGCCAGUGCUGGUCCCCUCACAAAACAACACAUGCUGUGCUCUCUCUGCAAGUGCACUCAUGAUGAACUUUGAGCCACACAUCUGCUGCAGAGAAGAAACUCUUAUUCCCAAAUGGCUGACAUUAGCUGAGCCUUCUGGCUUCAUCUCUCGCAUAGUGUCUAGUUAUUAGAUAGGCUUCUGGAGAAACAGAGGAGUAAAUUUCGUUAUUAUGUCAUCAUCUCAUUACGACGCAUCCCCAACUCAAUUCUUCAGCUUGAUAUUAUUCUAAGACUCUGUUUCUACGAAGUGAAUAUUGGGAUUAAAAUCAGUGUCCACCCUUCUUUACCCCUAAGCUGUAUCUUAGGGGUAAGGAUGUAUUUUUGCCUCUCGGAGCCUCUUUCUUUGAUUUAAAGUAGUGGUAAGCAAAUAUUUUCUAUAAAAAGCUGAAUAGUAAAUAUUUUAGGCUUUGUGGGCCAUACACUCUCUGUUGCAACUACUCAACUCUACUGUUGUAGCAUAGAAGCAGCCAGAGAUUGUACCUAAAUGAAUGAGUAUGGUUGUGUUCCAAUAAAACUUUAUUUAUAAAAACAGGCGGUGGGUUGGGUUUUACCUAUGGACUACACCUUGCGAACCCUGAUUUAAAGUAUGGAUUAGCAAGAAGGUUUCAGGUGAAAAGACAGAUUUAAAAAACAAACAAACAAACAAACAAAAAACCAGUAUCUUUCCAUGUGUUCAUCUCUUAGAUGAAAAAAAUAUAUAUAACUAAUACAUUUUGUUGGACUUUUUAUUUAUUCCUUCUGCAGGCAAUAGUAUGGUAUUUCCCCCUUCUAAUAUUAUGCAUGUUAAGUUUUUAGAUUCCUCUUCCCCCACAUAAAACAGUUAAGGGGAGCAGUAGAAUUUAAGUCAGAGAAGAGAGGGUUAAAUAGUUUUAAAAAUUAGGGGGUGAAAGUAUCACUUAUCUGCAAACACAGCCUCUUCUUUAGAAACUGAUUUACCCAGACAUUGAAUUGAUUAUAAGAUAUGUAGAGUAAAAACAAAUUUGCCGACCUUCAUUUUAGAGAUCAAAGGUUAAAUUCAUACCCUGUAGGAUGGUUCUGUUAAAUUAUUCCCAAGCUUCCUGGUGACAUGUUUUCAAAAAAUAUUUCUCUCCAAAUUUAUCAAGUGUUCUUUGUGUUCUGGAAACAUGAUUUGGAGUCCCAGCUGGAGCUGGGACCUCAUGAGUCUUAGAUAGCUGAAAUUCUUCUCCAGCUAUCUGCAGAGGAAUAUAGUUAGUUGGGAUAGACAUUAAUUGCAGGGGUUAAUUUCUCUGAGUCUAGUUGUUUAUUGAAGAUUGAAAUUAACAUUUUAUGCUAGAUAACCAAGGGUUGUACGAACCGGGCAUAGAUAAAGGGCUAAAAUUGUCCAUUUUGAUGUCCUUGACAUUGAGCUGAAUAAAUGUCUUAGAUU